UGUAGAAAAGAGAGAGCCGUAAUGCAGAAGAGAAGUUGUGUAUUCUUUCGGUGUACACAUGCAUUUUCAAUUUGCUGUGAAACAUAUGAACAUGCACAGGGAACAAUACUACAUAUUUGUUUAAGGAGGAUAUUUUUCUCGUGUGAAUCGUUUACGAGGAAAUUCUGACAGCCACUCUGUCGACGAUCAGCCGUUGAUAAGCUACGAGUAAUAAAGGAGAAAAGAUGGACAUUAAAGUGUGUGAUUUAUGUGGAUGUUACUGAAGAAGCUCAAAACAGACUCUUGUUACCACAUGGCUUUUACCGGUACCUGUUGAUUCUUGUGUGUCAGCUCCUGAGAUUAACCUGUCACCUCUAUCCACAUGCAUAUUCCUUGUGUUCUACAGACUAUUUACCGGUAAUUCAAAUUAAAUCCGAUAAUGCAUGAAUAAUAAUGGAACUUGAAGAAAGCAUCAUGCCAUGUUGUGGUUUGUGUUUGAUAAGAAAUUAUGAAAACAAAAUUAAGGCUGUUUAAAGAAAUUCAUAAUUGCUGUGAAA